rnacentral:rRNA from 1 species
CACGUGGGCAACCUGCCUGUAAGUUGGGGAUAACUCCGGGAAACCGGGGCUAAUACCGAAUGAUAAAGUGUGGCGCAUGCCACGCUUUUGAAAGAUGGUUUCGGCUAUCGCUUACAGAUGGGCCCGCGGUGCAUUAGCUAGUUGGUAGGGUAAUGGCCUACCAAGGCAACGAUGCAUAGCCGACCUGAGAGGGUGAUCGGCCACACUGGGACUGAGACACGGCCCAGACUCCUACGGGAGGCAGCAGUAGGGAAUCUUCCGCAAUGGACGAAAGUCUGACGGAGCAACGCCGCGUGUAUGAAGAAGGUUUUCGGAUCGUAAAGUACUGUUGUUAGAGAAGAACAAGGAUAAGAGUAACUGCUUGUCCCUUGACGGUAUCUAACCAGAAAGCCACGGCUAACUACGUGCCAGCAGCCGCGGUAAUACGUAGGUGGCAAGCGUUGUCCGGAUUUAUUGGGCGUAAAGCGCGCGCAGGCGGUCUUUUAAGUCUGAUGUGAAAGCCCCCGGCUUAACCGGGGAGGGUCAUUGGAAACUGGAAGAC